rnacentral:lncRNA from 1 species
CUGCUAGGACUACAGUAAGUCACCUCCUCAAGCAUGUGUGUAAAUGAAAGCAAACCGCUGAAAGAGAGUGACGGUUAAUAGUAAUAGAAAGAGAGAGUGGCAGACAGACAGGGAGAGAGGAUUGACAUAAGCACUAGAAACACCAGGAAUGAGAAGAAUGAACAGGAGGUAUUCGUUGGACAGCUUUGACUCCCCUGUUGGCCCCUGGGAGAAUGGAGGAAGGGCCAAAGCGACGGGCCCCAGGCGAGGCUCCGAGGCCCCCAAGAGGGCACAUCUGGACGAGGCCCAUCAGCAGAUCGUAGAGUUCAACAGGCUUCUCAACCAGAGGGCUCUCACCAGGCAACAAACUAUAGAGGAAGAAAGUUUAAACCAAUCAGAUGGCAUCAUCACCCACCAUAGAUUUGAGAAUCACAAAAAAACGUUCCGCAAAAUGUUCCCAGAAAUUCCAGAGGAAGAAGACCUGACUCAUGGUGA